UUAUUAUGCAUAUUGCCAUGUCUGUGACUGAUCAAGCUCGGCCAUUUCUUGGCACAGAAAACUGAUAAAUGAUACACCAAGGAUCUCUUUAUAGAUCCGGGGAGAUAAGAUGAACUGGAGGCGUGGCCAUAAGAAAUCGUAUGAUCAUGAAUAGUGUACUUGUGUACCCCUCUAUGCAUGGCCCAGAGUCUUCCUGGCUCCCUUGUCUCUCGCUGGCAAGCACGUUUGGAGCCCCAAGUGAGUAAAGACAUGACCAGUUUUUUUUUCAAAGAUAGGAAGAGGAAAGACACGAACAUAUUGAUGGGCACAUGUGGGA
rnacentral:lncRNA from 1 species